UACGUAGGGGGCAAGCGUUGUCCGGAUUUACUGGGCGUAAAGAGCGCGUAGGCGGAGAUCUAAGCGUGGCCUGAAAGCCCCCCGGCUCAACCGGGGAGUGCGGCUGCGAACUGGGUUUCUUGAGGACGAUAGAGGAGAGUGGAAUUCCUGGUGUAGCGGUGAAAUGCGUAGAUAUCAGGAGGAACACCCGAGGCGAAGGCGGCUCUCUGGGUCGUACCUGACGCUGAGGCGCGAAAGCGUGGGGAGCAAACAGG
rnacentral:rRNA from 1 species